UACGUAGGUCCAGAGCGUUGUCCGGAUUUAUUGGGCGUAAAGCGAGCGCAGGCGGUUAGAUAAGUCUGAAGUUAAAGGCUGUGGCUUAACCAUAGUACGCUUUGGAAACUGUUUAACUUGAGUGCAAGAGGGGAGAGUGGAAUUCCAUGUGUAGCGGUGAAAUGCGUAGAUAUAUGGAGGAACACCGGUGGCGAAAGCGGCUCUCUGGCUUGUAACUGACGCUGAGGCUCGAAAGCGUGGGGAGCAAACAGG
rnacentral:rRNA from 1 species